ensembl:lncRNA
UGCACAAUUUUUACACAGAGAAACAAGAAGGGGAGCACCAUGCGAUAGUUGAGUGUUCACAGAGUAUUAUCAGGAGAACAAUUAUGGUAAAGGUUCAAACUCUCCCUGCAGACUCCAGAAAGUGGUGGCAACGGUUCAAAGAUGAACUACUGAAUAAAUUAGGAACUCUCAGGGUUGUUUAGAAGAGAAAAAGGAUUCAUCUGAUUUGUUUGUUCCGGAAACGUUUUUGGUCCCUUUGGUGGAUUGACUAUUUCUUCUUUUUAAUUUAAGACAAAUUUAUUUUAGUAUCGCAUGCACCCACUGGGGCUCUGUGACAGAGAGACACCAUCUGCUUAAGCUUUUCAAAAGUUCCACGUCCUUUGCUCUCCUCAGACAGAAUGUUAACCAGCAUUUAUCCUCAUAAAUUCAAGCCUUGUGAUUGGACAGAAUAUGUCAACUGCGGAAAUCUUGUCCCCUUCUGCAUCCAUUCACCAUGUUUUGUCAGACCAUAAACUGUUCUCUCACAGCGACUUCCCAGACGUCGUUACCGCGACGAUGCCGCCAAGCUAAGCGGCUGCUGGCGGCGACCUCGUCGUUAACGGACAGAAACUGUCCGAAACUACAGAUUCUCUCGUCUACCUUUCCGCAAGAAAGCGCUCAGGCUUAUUUCCCAAAACGAUUCCUUUGAAAUGGUUGUAAAACUAAAUCACAUGAAGCUCCAUGUGGCCGUUUUCACAAUAUCGACACUGACUGAUUCCUGUGUAAGAUGAACGACUCCUGCUUCUACCUCCAGCCCAACAAGACAAACAUUGUCUUUCCACGUGUUUCAUCCGGUGGAUUCAGGCUCAAACUCACUUUCUUUGAUCCUUAAGACUUUGCAGAGGUUAUUUAAACUUCUCCAGAAGACGCAGUGACUGCCUGGAGAGCCCCGCUUACUUUCCCCUGCAGCGCCUCGCACGACCCAUGGCUUACUCGGCCUAUUAUUGUUGCCUUGUCCUUCAAACUCCCCCGAUAACUUCACCCUGUGAAAAAGCCCUGCAUUCUUCCAUGUGCAACCACUUUUGAAGGCUGAGAUUUCGGUAAGUGAUGGACCGUGAGGCCAAAGACCACAAAUAUUUUCCCCUUCCCUUUCCGUACUUUACCAAACAGUCCCCCGAAAGUGAUGGAAAUCCAU